rnacentral:lncRNA from 1 species
AAAAGAAAGGUAUUGCCGUGACCAGGAUUCAAACCUGGGUUAUUGCGGCCACAACGCAAGGUACUAACCACUAUACGAUCACGGCUGCCCGGCUGGACGGAGCUACACCUUUCCCUGAUCGCUGUCAUGGAAGCUGCCGAUGGGAGCUCAAGGACGAUGCCGUGUGGAAGGAAAAAGAAAAAAAAGGGGGGGGGGGGAAUACCCUCAGUCUGGGCGUCACAGGAAAAGAACGCGAAUGAAACGGCCAGUUAUUGGCUGCAAAUUCCGCACGCCGUAUGCACGCAAACAAAAAAUCAAUUGCUUAAUAUCGUAAGACAUUAAAUAAAUGGGGAGAAAAAAAAAGUAUUGCCGUGACCAGGAUUCGAACCUGGGUUAUUGCGGCCACAACGCAAGGUACUAACCACUAUACGAUCACGGCUGCCCGGCUGGACGGAGCUACACCUUUCCCUGAUCGCCGUCAUGGAAGCUGCAGAUGGGAGCUCAAGGACGAUGCCGUGUUGAAGGAAACAGAAAAAAAAGGAGGGGGGGCGGGGUGAAUGCCCUCAGUCUGGGCGUCACAGGAAAACAAAGCGAAUGAAACGGCCAGAAAUUGGCUGAAAAUUCCGCACACCGCAUGCACGCAAACAAAAAUCAAUAGCUCAAUACUGUAACACAUUAAAUCAUUGAGGAGAAAAAAAUGCAUUGCCGUGACCAGGAUUCGAACCUGGGUUAUUGCGGCCACAACGCAAGGUACUAACCACUAUACGAUCACGGCUGCCCGGCUGGACGGAGCUACACCUUUCCCGGAUCGCCGUCAUGGAAGCUGCCGAUGGGAGCUCAAGGACGAUGCCGUGUUGAAGGAAACAGAAAAA